CCCUUAGAUGUUCUGGGCCGCACGCGCGCUACACUGACAGAGCCAGCGAGUUAUUUCACCUUGGCCGGAAGGCUCCGGGUAAUCUUGUGAAACUCUGAUCGUGCUUUGGGAUCGAGCAUUGCAAUUAUUGCUCGUGAACGAGGAAUACCUUGUAAGCGCGGGUCAUCAUCCCGCGCUGAAUACGUCCCUGCCCUUUGUACACACCGCCCGUCGCUCCUACCGAUUGAGUGGUCCGGUGAGGCUUUGGGAUCUGAGCGGAAAGAGCGUUUCGCUGUUUCUGCUCGGAAAACUCAGUCGAACCUUAUCAUUUAGAGGAAGGAGAAGUCGUAACA
rnacentral:rRNA from 1 species